GUACCCCAAACCGACACAGGUGGUCAGGUAGAGAAUACCAAGGCGCUUGAGAGAACUCGGGUGAAGGAACUAGGCAAAAUGGUGCCGUAACUUCGGGAGAAGGCACGCUGACACGUAGGUGAAGUGAUUUACUCAUGGAGCUGAAGUCAGUCGAAGAUACCAGCUGGCUGCAACUGUUUAUUAAAAACACAGCACUGUGCAAACACGAAAGUGGACGUAUACGGUGUGACGCCUGCCCGGUGCCGGAA
rnacentral:rRNA from 1 species